UCAUACGUAGGAUCCAAGCGUUAUCCGGAAUUACUGGGCGUAAAGAGUUGCGUAGGUGGAUUGUUAAGUGGGACGUGAAAGCGUACGGCUCAACCGUAUUAUUGCGUUCCAAACUGGCAAACUAGAGUGCGAGAGAGGUAGAUGGAAUUCCCAGUGUAGGAGUGAAAUCCGUAGAUAUUGGGAGGAACACCGAUGGCGUAGGCAGUCUACUGGCUCGUUACUGACACUAAGGCACGAAAGCGUGGGUAGCAAACGGGAUUAGAUACCCCGGUAGUCCACGCUGUAAACGAUGGAUGCUAGCUGUUACUCACAUCGACCUGAGUAGUAGCGAAGUUAACGCGUUAAGCAUCCCGCCUGGGGAGUACGGUCGCAAGAUUAAAACUCAAAGGAAUUGACGG
rnacentral:rRNA from 1 species